CUGGGAGGACCAUCUCCUAAGGCUAAAUACUCUCUAGUGACCGAUAGUGAACCAGUACCGUGAGGGAAAGGUGAAAAGCACCCCGGAAGGGGAGUGAAAUAGAACCUGAAACCGUGUGCUUACAAGUAGUCAGAGCCCGUUAAUGGGUGAUGGCGUGCCUUUUGUAGAAUGAACCGGCGAGUUACGAUUUGAUGCAAGGUUAAGCAGUAAAUGUGGAGCCGUAGCGAAAGCGAGUCUGAAUAGGGCGUUUAGUAUUUGGUCGUAGACCCGAAACCAGGUGAUCUACCCUUGGUCAGGUUGAAGUUCAGGUAACACUGAAUGGAGGACCGAACCGACUUACGUUGAAAAGUGAGCGGAUGAACUGAGGGUAGCGGAGAAAUUCCAAUCGAACCUGGAGAUAGCUGGUUCUCUCCGAAAUAGCUUUAGGGCUAGCCUCAAGUGAUGAUUAUUGGAGGUAGAGCACUGUUUGGACGAGGGGCCCCUCUCGGGUUACCGAAUUCAGACAAACUCCGAAUGCCAAUUAAUUUAACUUGGGAGUCAGAACAUGGGUGAUAAGGUCCGUGUUCGAAAGGGAAACAGCCCAGACCACCAGCUAAGGUCCCAAAAUAUAUGUUAAGUGGAAAAGGAUGUGGCGUUGCCCAGACAACUAGGAUGUUGGCUUAGAAGCAGCCAUCAUUUAAAGAGUGCGUAAUAGCUCACUAGUCGAGUGACACUGCGCCGAAAAUGUACC
rnacentral:rRNA from 1 species